GACGAACGCUGGCGGCGUGCUUAACACAUGCAAGUCGAACGGAAAGGCCCUGCUUUUGUGGGGUGCUCGAGUGGCGAACGGGUGAGUAACACGUGUGUAACCUGCCCUUGACUUUGGGAUAACUUCAGGAAACUGGGGCUAAUACCGGAUAGGAGCUCCUGCUGCAUGGUGGGGGUUGGAAAGUUUCGGCGUUUGGGGAUGGACUAGCGGCUUAUCAGCUUGUUGGUGGGGUAGUGGCUUACCAAGGCUUUGACGGGUAGCCGGCCUGGGAGCGUGGCCGGCCACAAUGGGACUGAGAUACGGACCAGACUGCUAUGUGAGGCAGCAGUGGGGAGUAUUGCACAAUGAGCGGAAGCGUGAUGCAGCAACGCCGCGUUCGGAAUGACGGCCUUCGGGGUGUGAACCGCUUUCGCCUGAGACGAAGCGUGAGUGACGGUAAUGAGUAAAGAAGCACCGGCUAACUACGUG
rnacentral:rRNA from 1 species